rnacentral:rRNA from 1 species
GACGGAAGGUGCAAGCGUUGCUCGGAAUCACUGGGCGUAAAGGGUGCGUAGGCGGCCGUGCAAGUCUGGCGUGAAAGCCCCGGGCUCAGCCCGGGAAGUGCGCUCGAAACUGCGCGGCUCGAGUGCCGGAGGGGAGAGUGGAAUUCCUGGUGUAGCGGUGAAAUGCGUAGAUAUUGGGAGGAACACCAGUGGCGAAGGCGGCUCACUGGACCGGAACUGACGCUGAGGCGCGAAGGCGUGGGGAGCAAACAGG